AAGACACCGCAAUUCUGCUACUGAACAGACAUUUCAACUUCCAACAAAACCCAGCCAAGUUAAUUCUACUAUUAAUCAGAUGGAACCUAUUUUGAAAUCCUAGAUUGUAAACAACUUGCAGACGAAGAGGUUGCAUU